rnacentral:lncRNA from 1 species
CUUGAACUGUCAUGCUCGCUAGGCGAAGCCCAUGCGUUUUGAAAAAAAAAUGAAAAAAAAAAGAAAAAAAACGAAAAAAAAAAAUUAAAUAAAUAAAUAAAAUAUAACAGAAAAAUCUUGGACUUGGACCUCUCUCAUUUGAGCCCACAAAGCCACGAAAAUCAGGUUAUAAAUUUUAUAAAAAAAAACAGUGGAAAAACCCUAGAGAGAUUCUAACUAAUUCAGAG